ACUGUGGCCCACCGUCGUCCUCUGAUUGGUUGGAGAUGAAGCAUUUCCGGUGCCUUUCCAUUCGUUGCGCCUCUUGAUUACUAUUGGUCGUUAGAUGUCAAACCGCCGUGGUCAGCUGUGGAGCAUGCGCACAGCUGAAUUGUAAUUGUGAGCAUACGUGCUGGGUGCGAUAGCCGGAAUGAAAUGGUCCUCCGUGGAGCUAGAAACAAAUAUAUUAAAACAAAUCACAGACAGGAAACUUUAAACAAACAUCAAAUCAAAAUUUGGCAUGAUCAAUCGAUUAAUCAGAAACUGGACAUUAUUGGCCUUUUGAGUCUGCAGGUGGAACAGGAGAAUCUCAAAUUGUCAACAGUGACGUGGCGGAGUAUUUUUGACCAUUCAUCAACAAGAUCUUGGACAAAAUCGAUAAGGAAGAUCUGACGAAGAAGCUAUGUGAAAGGGCUUCUAUAGCCUGGCUGCAGUAACUGUUUGUAGAUAGUUUGACAGAGUGGUCAAAGUCACUACAUUUAAGCUCUCGUCUCUAUUGAGUCAUGGAUAUGAAUCUUACCGGUAACCAAAAUCACGAGUGAUCUACCUCAGGCAGUCACAUCGAAGGAGCUGGGCAACUUCAAGUUUGCAAUGUUUACAUUUCUUCUGGGUAACUGUGGCUGCUUGGGCCUCUGAUAUGCUCGGUGCUGAAAGUGGGAAAAUGGGCAACAGCCUCCAAAAACAACAAGAGCUCUGGCUUCACAACGGCCCUUCAGAACUCCGCUAACACCCUGCUUUAGCGGAUUUUGCAUAGCUUGUUGAUGCCAGUUUUUAUGGCUCAAACGGUCAGCAUUAGGUGGUAAACUGAAAAGUCGGGUGUUUGAGACCAUCCAGGCACACAACUUUAGUUAUUUUGGAUCAAGCAAUUUAAGUGACCACCUACCUGAGGUUACCCCAUGAAAAAGCUACAACAAGAUUGGAUUCAAAACACAUCCAUCAAUGAUUCUGUCUUCCCCAGCUCCACACAGAGUGAGACUGGGGCAAGCAGAGGGUUUGACUUCGCUCUCCAAUCUCCAUUGCCAGAUUUUAUGGGCAGAGAGAUCAAGGACAGAGAGAUCAAAAGAUCGUACAAAUGGUUUGAGUGCAGUCUCCUAUAAACAGUCUCUGCAGGUGAUCUAAAGUGUAAAACGGUGUGAGUAAAGUGUCAACAGCUGAAUAACAGGUGAAGGGAUGACCUGUGAUCUGAAUAAGUGAGGCAGAGAGAUAAUUACAAAAACAAACUAAAAAUAAGGUUGUGGUUGGCACAAACCAAUUUCUGAUGAAGGGUCUAGGCCCAAAACAUCAGCUUUCCUUCUAAGAUGCUGCUUGGCCUGCUGUGUUCAUCCAGCUCCACACCUUGUUAUGGCUGGAAUUAUGUGAUAGGUAUAAGAAUCACUUGCUGAUAGUCUAACCAAAGUAAUAAAUAAUCCAAAAUUGUACUAACUAAUCAAGAGAGAGAUGUCACAACAAUUUAUCAAGGUGAUGGUGUUGAAAUAGGACAAUAAGGAAGAUUUUAUAGAUGCAGAACAGUACAGGGGGAUCACAUGUAGACAUGAACUUAAGAUCAUGAUUGAGGCUAUCUUCAUGGGCAUGGAAUUUGGCUAUCAGUUUCUGCUCGGUGAUUCUGCUUUGUCGUGUAUCUCAAAGGUCACGUUGCAUGUUUUCCCGAAGAUUGGACGCUUAAUGUACUUUACUGCUGAAGUGUUCUCCAACUGGGAGGGAACAUUCUUGUCUGGCAAUUGUUGCACAGAGUCCAUUCAUCCGUUGUCAUAGCGUCUGCAUGUUCUCACUAAUAUACCAUGCCUGGGGCAUUCUUACCUGCACUGUGUGAGGUCGAUAAUGUUGGCCCAGUCACAUAAGUAUCUCCCUUUAUGUGGUGGGUGGUGGCUGCAUGUGUGAUGCUAGUAUCCAUGUCAAUGAUCUGACAUCUUUCAGAGGUGCCAGUGGCAGGGUUGUGUGGUGUUGUGGUCGAAUUUGUCCUGAAGGUUGAGUAGCUGGCUGCGAACGACAGCCUGAUUAAGGUUUGGAGGUUGUUUGAACAGAGAAGUGAAGGUGUAUGGAUGAUCCUGGUGAGAUGCUGGUCAUCAUCAUUGACAUGUUGAAGGCUGUGGAGAACAUGGUGCAAUGUCUCCGCUCUGGGGAAUUCUUUAUGAUGAAGGGCGCUCUCUAGGUUGCAUCCUGUGUCUGUCUUCUGAGGAGGCCAUUGUGGGUUUUUGCUGUGGCACGUCGGAACUGAUGAGCCUCUGUCCAAAAAUAAGUCUCUGUCAGUGAUCAAAAAGUGUUAGAUGGUGUGAGUAAAAUGUUAACAGCUGAAGAGCAAGGGAAGUGAUGACCUAUGAUCCAAGUAGAGGAGGGAGAGAGAUAAUUACAAGAAAAUUUUAAAAAGACGGUGCUGGAGAGAAACAAAAUGACUUUGUUUUUCCUGCAGAACAUUAAAACCAAUUUUGAGCACUUAUUCCAGGAUUUUAAAUGAAUAUUUUAAAGCUAUUGCCCUCAUCUUUGAGCAGCCCACAUGACUGCAAAUUACACUGUCAGACGCUGGAUAAAUUUGGGAAAUUGCUUCAAUAAACCCAGUCAUUUCUGUUACAGAUCGUAAGGAAUUCUCAUUCGGCUGAAGAGACACAAUCAACACUUUGUUUGUUCUGUGUGCAGGGUCUCAGCGAAGAUCUGAAGAGACUUUAUACAACUGUUUCAGAAACUGUCGCCAAUUUUACUGCUUACAUCAGCCAGUGCAUCGAAGGCCUGCAGAGCUGGCAACUGAUCGAAUUGGGGGGAGCUGGUUACAUUGAAAAUACAUUUAAACUCUCUCCCAAAAGAGAAAGGCCUCAAAUAUUUAUCACAGUUUCAAGCAAACUACAAAACACAUAUAGAAUCGUGAAUUAAAUUAUUGAUAAUGUAUAAUCCAUGUGUUAGGAUUACAGAACGAAAGAACACUGCUGAUGGUUCAAAUCUGAAAGACCAAAAGUGAAUGUGAGAGACACCCAGCAGGACAGAAUCUAAUCUAUCAGCAGGGAAUCUCUCCACCCCCAGAGACUGAGGUUAGAUUCUUUCGAGCAGCAUAGACUGAGGAAGGGUCACCAGACCCAAAAGGUUAACACUUUUUUUCUUCACAGAUGCUGCCAGACCUGCUGAGCUUUUCUUGCAACUUCUGUUUUUGUUAUACACUGAGAGACGGGGGACAGGGGAGGGUGGCGAGGACAUGAGUGUGAUGUGUACAUUCAUGAGGGAAACAGACAGAGUAAACAAGAUGAAUCUUUGUGCUUGGUGGUGGAAUCAGUAUCGGGGAGGGGGAGCCGAGGACAGACACAUUAGAUGAGAUGUAAGGAUUUUUUUUCACUCAGAUAGUGGGAAUCUGAAACUCACAGCCUGGAAAUGUGGGAGAGGUGAAAACCAUCAUCACAUUGCACUGGACUUUAGCUGUAAAAAAUAAGCGCUGAAAGAA